AAUAGAUACCCGGGUAGUCCACGCCGUAAACGAUGUCGACUUGGAGGUUGUUCCCUUGAGGAGUGGCUUCCGGAGCUAACGCGUUAAGUCGACCGCCUGGGGAGUACGGCCGCAAGGUUAAAACUCAAAUGAAUUGACGGGGGGCCCGCACAAGCGGUGGAGCAUGUGGUUUAAUUCGAUGCAACGCGAAGAACCUUACCUACUCUUGACAUCCAGAGAACUUAGCAGAGAUGCUUUGGUGCCUUCGGGAACUCUGAGACAGGUGCUGCAUGACUGUCGUCAGCUCGUGUUGUGAAAUGUUGGGUUAAGUCCCGCAACGAGCGCAACCCUUAUCCUUUGUUGCCAGCGGUCCGGCCGGGAACUCAAAGGAGACUGCCAGUGAUAAACUGGAGGAAGGUGGGGAUGACGUCAAGUCAUCAUGGCCCUUACGAGUAGGGCUACACACGUGCUACAAUGGCGCAUACAAAGAGAAGCGACCUCGCGAGAGCAAGCGGACCUCAUAAAGUGCGUCGUAGUCCGGAUUGGAGU
rnacentral:rRNA from 1 species